CCUAUGGCAAAUAGUAAGGACUUGCCUCUUCUUUGAAGUUCAGGUCAUAACUUUUGUCCUUCAAGAAGAAUUCAGAUGCAGCAACAUCCAUUCCAAUGACCACCUAAGCGGAAAAUCAUCUCAGCCAUCAGGUUUCCAACAAAAAAAAUUAUGGUGCAAGUCAACAAGUAACUGAGAUACUCACCUUUCCAGUAUAUCCUGCUUUUUCAAUGGCUGUCUUGAGCAAUUCAAGUCCUUAUGGAAAAUCAUCUCAGCCACCAGGUUUCCAACAACAGUUAUGAAAAAAAAUUAUGGUGUGCUUCAACAAGUAACUGAGAUACUCACCUUUCCAGUAUAUCCUGCUUUCUCAAUGGCUGUCUUGAGCAAUUCAAGUCCUUCCUUGUUCUCCUGA
rnacentral:lncRNA from 1 species